rnacentral:rRNA from 1 species
CCUACGGGGGGCUGCAGUGGGGAAUAUUGCACAAUGGGCGCAAGCCUGAUGCAGCCAUGCCGCGUGUGUGAAGAAGGCCUUCGGGUUGUAAAGCACUUUCAGCGGGGAGGAAGGCGGUGAGGUUAAUAACCUCAUCGAUUGACGUUACCCGCAGAAGAAGCACCGGCUAACUCCGUGCCAGCAGCCGCGGUAAUACGGAGGGUGCAAGCGUUAAUCGGAAUUACUGGGCGUAAAGCGCACGCAGGCGGUCUGUCAAGUCGGAUGUGAAAUCCCCGGGCUCAACCUGGGAACUGCAUUCGAAACUGGCAGGCUAGAGUCUUGUAGAGGGGGGUAGAAUUCCAGGUGUAGCGGCGAAAUGCGUAGAGAUCUGGAGGAAUACCGGUGGCGAAGGCGGCCCCCUGGACAAAGACUGACGCUCAGGUGCGAAAGCGUGGGGAGCAAACAGGAUUAGAUACCCUUGUAGUC